rnacentral:tRNA from 2 species
CGGCCGCGUGCGGUGUCGAUCCAUCGGACGCUGCGGUCGGCCGCGAGGGGACCGUCCGGAUCGUCACCGAGGCGGCCGAC